AGUUUGAUCAUGGCUCAGAUUGAACGCUGGCGGCAGGCCUAACACAUGCAAGUCGAGCGCGAAAGUCUUCGGAUGAGUAAAGCGGCGAACGGGUGAGUAACACGUGAGUAAUCUGCCCUUCACUCUGGGAUAACUGCCUGAAAGGGUGGCUAAUACUGGAUGCGACCAACUGCUGCAUGGUGUGUUGGUGGAAAGCGUUUAGUGGUGGGGGAUGUGCUCGCGGCCUAUCAGCUUGUUGGUGGGGUAAUGGCCUACCAAGGCGACGACGGGUAGCCGGCCUGAGAGGGCGACCGGCCACACUGGGACUGAGACACGGCCCAGACUCCUACGGGAGGCAGCAGUGGGGAAUAUUGCACAAUGGGCGGAAGCCUGAUGCAGCGACGCCGCGUGAGGGAUGACGGCCUUCGGGUUGUAAACCUCUUUCAGCAGGGACGAAGCGAAAGUGACGGUACCUGCAGAAGAAGCGCCGGCCAACUACGUGCCAGCAGCCGCGGUA
rnacentral:rRNA from 1 species